UGGGAAUGGUCUCCGAUGAACACCAGGAAUACUGGGAAUGCUCUCCAACACUAGGAAUACUGGGAAUGCUCCGGAAUGCUGGGAUUGCUCCCCGAGACUGGGAAUACUGGGAACACCGGGAAUACUGGUAAUGCCCCCAAAACACCGGGAAUGCUCCCCCCUUCCCCCCCCCCCUUCCGGACUCCUAAUGAGCGGCUCCGCCUCGUUAACGACUUCAGACACUAAUUAACCCUCCCCCUCCCCCAGGGGCUGGCUGGGGGCAUCCGGAGGGUUCUGGGGUCAAUAAACCUCUUUAUGGUCACCCCA
rnacentral:lncRNA from 1 species